CCUACGGGGUGCAGCAGUGGGGGAUAUUGUACAAUGGGGGGAACCCUGAUGCAGCGACGCCGCGUGGGUGAAGAAGCGCCUCGGCGCGUAAAGCCCUGUCAGCAGGGAAGAAAAUGACGGUACCUGAAGAAGAAGCCCCGGCUAACUACGUGCCAGCAGCCGCGGGAAUACGUAGGGGGCAAGCGUUAUCCGGAUUUACUGGGUGUAAAGGGGGCGCAGACGGCGAUGCAAGCCAGGAGUGAAAGCCCGGGGCCCAACCCCGGGACUUCUCUUGGAACUGCGUGGCUGGAGUGCAGGAGGGGCAGGCGGAAUUCCUGGUGUAGCGGUGAAAUGCGUAGAUAUCAGGAGGAACACCGGUGGCGAAGGCGGCCUGCUGGACUGCAACUGACGUUGAGGCCCGAAAGCGUGGGGAGCAAACAGGAUUAAAUACCCGAGUAGUC
rnacentral:rRNA from 1 species